rnacentral:misc_RNA from 1 species
CUGGGUCACCGAGCGCUUCGGCGUUCACCCCCACCCUUCUGUCUACCGACUAGCUUCGGCUCAAGGCUGGCCCCUGAUGACUCGGGGGCCCGCCGGCCGAAAAUCCAACCCUGAACAACUUUGCCGCCUGAAGUAACAAGCAAAUAGUUA